CAAUACCAUUUUGAACAAUUAAUUGGUCUUUCAAGAGACUUAGUUGUGAGUGGUGCAGCAAGAUGGGUGGAAGCAAGCUUCCUUUUCUUUUUUCUUUUCUUCCUUCCUUUCUUAAUGGGGAAAGAUUUAAAUGUGUUCAUAGUCCUGGGAGAAGGUGCCUGGGGAGAGAGAGGUUGAAGGAGAAGAAAAGCAAGAGGAGUGUUUCUGAAGAAAUAGAAAAGGACUGAGAACCAGACACUGAUGGGGGCUUGCAUUUGGAAACAAGGAAAAUAAACAAGGGUGGAGUUGUAGAACCAUUUUGUAUGAUAUAUCUCAUAACCCUAGUGUCUGAACUCUGUGAUCUGACUUUGCUGCCUGUGGACUUUUCUACGUAUUGAUUUUAGUGUCUUGUUCCCUGUGUAUUAUGUGAUUUUUUUGAAGCUGUAAACUGUUUACUUUCCUUGGAAAUUUGUGGUAAUUCUUUGAGUCCUUUGUGGAGAUUUUAUUCCUCCAGAGAGGAUUUUCUUUGCCUUCUGCAAAUCAUCUCAAGGCAGUACCACCGUGUUAAUUCAGACAAAUCCAUUUGAAGGCUGGCUUGUGGUUACAAGGUCUCAGGGGAGAUUUUCCCCACUCCAACACCAAGAUCAAAACAUACACAUUGCUUCGUCCUCUUUUGCACGAUGGGUUUAUUUCUUAUCUACUCCACCCUUGAGGGUGUAUCCUUUGGGAGGAGGUACCAGGUUUGGGUGGGGUCUCCUAAUACACUGUCUAUGUUAGUGGCAUUUGAGGCUUUACUUCACAAACCCCAAGCCGUUGCAGCUGUCGAAACAGAAACCCAGGGUAAAAGGUGUCUUUGGUGCUUGCUUACUUCGAGUUCUGGCUUUCAUUUCGUUUUGGCCUUUGUAGAUUCUCUUCCUAUUGUGCUAGCCCAGCAAUGUGGUUUUAUUUUUACAUUCUUACAUAUUUUAUCCAGUGUCUUAGUUUCAGUCGAGAAGGUAGUUCAGGAUAUCAAAUCUGCCCUACUGCUAGAAAAGGAAGCCUGGUGUGCCUGCUAUCAUAACUUUGGUUUUGACAAGCAAACAUGAACAGUUUUUGCCUGCUGGGUUUACAGCAUAUGAACCUUGUUGCUAUGCAGCUGUUGUUGGAAAAUAGUCUGUGGGCUCAGAGUUUCUAAACCAACCGUUUAUUGGAUGCCCAGAGAAGGAAGGAAAGCGAGGGCCCUGGCUUGCUGAUUACAAACCAUCUCCAUGGUCACAGGUUGCUGGGUGCUCCUUUUACAAUGUUUUCCCAGCAGCAUUCAGGCAGCAGUAGCUUCCUUUGAUCAUUUUUCAGUUUCUGUUAUUUGCUAAUGAGAGAAAGUUUAUACCUGCUUGUGGGGACAUGAAUGAAGAAAGAGAAGGGACUUUGAAACAGGAGAAGAGAGCAAACUCAAAAGGUACCAUAUGACCUCAGGCUCCCAUCAUGUUGCAUGCCUUCAACAAAGCAUCUCUGCCUGAGAGCUCUCAGUGGCAAUGCAUGGGAAGAAAACAAAGGGAAGAACGUUGGAGUCUCCUGUUAGAAUAUUUUACACUCUGAAGGGGAUGAGCAUGAAGCAGUCAUCACUCUCAAGUUUGAGCCAAGAUAUUUGGAAUCCCUCAGCAUACCAGCCUCCUAUGGAAACAUUUGCCAACUUAUCAGGGAUGUGGAAGACACAAACUUUGGGUGAAAGCAUCAUAUUUUCAUGUAAUUUGUGAAGGCCAAGGAAGGGUCUUCUUGUUUAAAUGGCAUAUGGCUUGCAGUUUCUGAUACAGCUUUUCAAAAUAUCCGAAAGAUAUAAAUAUUCCUGAAGGACCAGAAAAAAAGACAAAACCCUAUAACACUAAAGAUUGGUCUUAAUGGACAAUCUCGUGCUAUAAUCUAAGAAGAAUCACCUUAAUAUAAGAAAGAUGGAGCUAAAUUAGAGGAAUAAAUCUUGCAUAGGUUUCUCUUUAUGACACAGCCAGGUUUUAUUUAUUUAACUUCAUGAAACAAAACACCUAGGGUGUGGGGGGAAGUAAUUUCACAAUUCCUUGAUGUCUGCUUCAUUGACCAGAGGCUGAGGAUGUUUACAAACCAGAAAACAGGAGAACAUUUAUUUAGGGAAUGGGAUAGAGCAUUUUGAUCUACCUGAAAACUGUUCUUCCACCACUUAUUUAUCUUCCUCUAUUUGUAGACAGAUAUAGUCUGGUCAGUUACGAAAAUAAUAUCAUUGUAUUGGGAAAAGUCGCUGUACUUCUAGGAAAUAAUUCUGAUGACAAAAAUGAACAGAAAUUGGAGAAAAGAUGGAGGGAAGAGCUGGAGAAACUAGUGGUUGAACAUUUCAUUUAAAUAGGUGUGGUUCUCAUGAGUAAAGUAGGUAGAGUCAGAGAGAAGAACAACAUUGAUAACAAUACAUGCUGGAAACUAUAGAUUUCCUGGAACCAUGUUUGUUAAAGGUAUUAGAGACUCAAACAAUGAGUUUAGGAAAAAAUGCCACUGAAGUUGAACUAGAUGAAAGUCUGUUAAACACAGUAGUAACCUGAGCUGUGAAUAUCCACCCACCCUUUAUCUGUUGAAUGCGGGAGCCAUCAAUUAGACUAGGAGUUAGAGUGGACUCAAGGAUAAUUCAUAUACCCUGGUGUUGGCAAAGACUCAUAGUAUAUAGUUCCUGCCUCAUAAGAGGAUGAAUGGAGAGGAGAAAUUGUCCAUGGAGAGCACCAAAAAAUACUUCAUGACAAAGAAAAUUUAACAUCACUGUGAAAACUCAGAGGAAAGAAUUUCUAUUUCUAAUGACAUGAAAGAGACUGGAGAAAUCAUCCAAGUUUAGAACACCUAAAAAUGCUGGAUAAUUUAUUUAAAUGCUUUUCUAAGUUGGUGGGAAAGUAAAAUACAUCUUCAAAGCCUGAAAAUGACAAGAGAGUUAUGGCCUGCAUUUGUCAUGGAGCAUAUGUGGAUCCCUCAUGGCCUAGAGCCUAGACUUUAAAUAGGCAGAAGAUAAAGCCCACAUAAGGUGAGAGUGUAGUCAGAUCUGAAACUACUACAUGAAGCUGGCAUCACUGUAAGGCAGAAUCCUCAGUGGUCAGUUAAAAUAAAACUUCACACCAUCGAGAUUGUGGUGAACCUUGCCUGUUUGGCUUUGAUUCUGGGUGGAGUGAAAUAAGGUAAAAGCCUUCUGCAAGAAGUCUUCACCUCAAGUUUGCCUUCACAGGUAUCUGGGACCAAACUCCCCAACAACUCUAAAACUUAAAAAGUAACCUCCAAGCUGAAUAUUUACUUUAAAGAGGUGUCAGGAUUGGUAGUCUACCCAGAUCCAUGGAAGAAUCAAAUGAAAAUCCUCUGUGGGAAUAUUUUCAACACACACACACACACACACACAGCCAUCGUGUGCUAGAAUCAGAACACACAAUAAACUGCAGAAUCAGAUGCACAAUGCAUUAGAAUUGUUAAAAAUGGAAGUAAAUCGGGCAUUUAGAAAUAUAAAAGAGGAGAUUAUAAGAGUGACUAAAAGAUUUGAAAAGGAAUCAAAUAGAAUUAGAAAUUCAGCGUAUGGAUUAAAGAGGUUAAAUAACAGUUUAGAAUCACCAAAAGAAAAAAUCAGUGAGUUGAAAGACAGACUGAGAUAUUAUCCAGAUUUUAGUGGAGAGACCCAAGAAAAAGAAAAACAGAAAUGGAAUAUUGGAAAGCACGGAGGUUAGCAUAAGGUAUGCCAUUACCUUAAUCAGAUUUGCACAAGGAAAUAUUAUAGCGAAUGAGUGGUUGUAAAGGAUAAUAUUCAAAGAGAUAAUGGCUGAGAAUUUUCCAUCAUUAAAAAAUAAAACAAUCCUUAUACCAGGAAGCCAAAGUAGAAUAAACAAAAGGAAAUCCACACCUAGACACAUCAUUGUAAAGUGUAGAACAAGAAAGUUCAUAAAAAUCAGAAAGAUCAUAAAAGCCGUCAAAAGAGAAAAAAAUCAAUAACCUGCAAAAGAAUGCCAGUUAGGUUCACCACAGACUUUUAAAGAGGAACAAUGGAAAUCAGAAGACAGUAGUAUAAUGCCUUAUAAUUGUAAACCUAGAAGUAUAUACCCAGGAAAAAUUUCUGACAACAAUAAGAGUAAAAUAAAAACUUCCACAGAAAUAAAAACUGAGAGAUUACAACCAAUUUAUUCUUAUUAAAGAAAAUUAUAAAGAGUAUACUUAAGGUAGAAAAAGAAAACUAUAAAAGAAGAUAUAAAAUGCAAGAAGAAAUAGUGAGCAAAGGAAAUGGUAAAUGUGGGAAAAUAUAAUCACUAACUAAAUCAAAGUUACAAUAAAAUCCAAUUUUGGAGAAAAAAACAACAUAAAAUUAAAAUCAUGGAGAAAAAUACAUGUAAAUAUGACUGGGGGUGGAAGGUUGCUGUGAUUUAGCAAUGAAGAGUUCUAAGCUCUAUUUCCAGGGAGACGGUAAAAACUUUUGCUUAACUUUGACUUUGUUAGGUUAUACGUGUAUAUUAAAAGUCUAGGAUGACCAAUAAAAGAAUAGAAAUUGUAAAAAUUUUAAAUUAGGUGAUAGAAAAAAUAUAAGAAAUAAGAAAAAGCCCCUACAAAAUCUAAUUAAUCUAAAAGAAGGCAAAAAAUCAAAUGAGCAUAUAUGAAAUAUAACAAAUGGAAGCACAAAAUAUGAAAUUUUAAGUAAGUAAAAAUAUAUUAUGAAUUACAAUAAAUGUCAGUGGACUAAAUUCCCCAGUGAAAAGUAAAAGGCUGGAUUUCAGAAGAUAAAAACAAAAGCAACAUCUAGUUUUAUGCCGUUUAUAAUUGUCAAAAGGAAAAAAUUACAACAAAUUAAUGUAAAGAUCUUAAUUUGCUGAUUUUCAUGGUUGUGUUGUGGUUAUGUAGGAGAAUAAGGAAAUAUAAAUUAAUGUGUUUAGGCAUGAUGAGAGCAUCAGAUUGGCAAUUUAUUUUUAAAUAGUUCAGAAAAAAGUUAUUUGUACCUCACACAGCUUUUCUAUAAGUUUGGCAUUGUUUGAAAAUAAAAAAUAUCUUUUAAAAAAAGAAGAAAGAAGAAAAAGAAUUUCCAAUAAAAUGACAAAUUUUGAAGCUAGGCAAAGAAGAUGCAACACAUGAAUAAUAGUAGUUUCAAAAGGAGAAACUCAACAAAUACUAAAAGAAACAGAACAAACAAUAAAAACUGCAAAUGAAUAAAACUUUUCUGACAAAAAAUGAAAAUACAAAUGGGAAAAACACACAUGCAUUUGAGAAUACUCACCCAGUAUAACCAAUACCAAGACAUAUACAAAUAUAGACUUCGUAUACUAAAAUUGGACUUUAAAGAAAAAGAGAAAAUCCUUUUGGAAUCCAGACAAAAAUAUCCUGUGAUUUAUAAAGAAAAGAAAAUUAUGGUAACAUCAGAAUUUUUCACAGUAAAAUUUUAUGUUGGAAGAAAAAAGAAAUAUCAUUUAAGAUAGCCUGGGAACGUUGGGAGCAAGAUGGCUGAAUAGGAACAGCUCCAGUCUCCAUCUCCCAGCGCGAGCGACACAGAAGACCAGUGAUUUCUGCAUUUUCAACUGAGGUACU